rnacentral:rRNA from 1 species
UACGUAGGUCCCGAGCGUUAUCCGGAAUUAUUGGGCGUAAAGGGUGCGCAGGUGGUUAUGUAAGUCUGGUGUGAAAUUUUUGGGCUCAACCCAAAAAGGUCAUUGGAAACUGCAUAACUUGAGAGCAGGAGAGGUAAGUGGAAUUCCUAGUGUAGCGGUGAAAUGCGCAGAUAUCAGGAGGAACACCGAUGGCGAAGGCAGGUCUCUGGGCCACUACUGACGCUGAGAAGCGAAAGCAUGGGGAGCGAACAGG